UGAGUUAGACAUGUAAGGUCUGGGAGUCAGCCUCCUUGUGAGGAUAUUGGAGAAGUAAAAAAGGCAAAGUGGUACUAAAAGUGGUGGCUGCAUCCUUGCCGUCUCUGAUGGCUUCUUCCCUCCCUGUGCUCUAUGUCCUGAGUGAACUGUUGUAUUUCUAUACCUUAUAGGACCUGCCUACCUGAGAUGGAAAUGACAGGGAAUAUUCUUAUUGAAGGAAUACCUGACGGAAUGUGUCAUUAAGUUCCAUGCACAGCCCAGGACCCAGCAGGGGCUCCACCACCUGCUUGGCUCUUCUUCACACAUCUCCCAGGCACUAAGUGGGAAGGACUGAAGGUAGACCAGAAGCAGCCAGCACACCCUGAGAGAAGGAACUCUGAGGGACUUUGCAGCUCAGCUUCCAUUCUGCUCACCUGGUGCACCCUCUGCACUCCUAUGUAUGCAGAGAAAGGUAUUUUGAGUUCUGAUUGUUGAAAGAAGGAAAAGUUUCGGUAACUUAAUUCAUAGAGCUUUC
ensembl:lncRNA